rnacentral:rRNA from 1 species
AUGGGAUCAGCAGGAGACUGGUCGGGGCUGCCGGAAGGUCUCCUGCUCAUCGCCAUGGGGGCCAUGGAGGUCGCCGACGUGGUCCGUUCGGGAGCCGUCUGCUCUGCCUGGCGCUCCGCCUACGCCACGUUCCGUCGCCUCCGCCUCCCCACGCCGAACCAGCCGCCCUGCCUGCUCUACGCCGCCGGGGACGCCGACGCUGCCGUGCUCUACUCCUUGUCCACCAACGCCACCUUCCGCCUACCGCCGCUCCACAGCGUCAUCGGCUCGGCGCACGGGUUGGUGUUCACCACCGACGAGGCGGCCAACCCUUACCUCCUCAACCCCGUGACCGGCGCCCGGGCCGCGCUUCCGGCGAUCACGACCCUCGAGCGCGUCAAGAGCAGCUUCCUGGACGGCGAGGGGAACACUGUGUACGACGUCGACCACGUGUGGGGAGGCGAGCCCGACACCAUGCAGCACGUGACGGCGCACAAGGCGAGAGGCUGGAUGUACAGCAGGGUGGCCAUCUCCGGCGCCGCAGGGGGCGCGGCGGCCUGCACCGUCCUUCGCUAACGACAAGAAAAGUGGCUUGUUUUACGUGCUACGCUCCGCCGGCAGCCUGCACGCUUUGGAUCUGAGUGGUCCGUCCCCGGUGACGUGGCGCGUGGCGACCACGAUGGGAAAUCUCGUCCCUAUGCACACCCCCUAUCUCAUCCCCACGCCGUGCGGCCGCAGCGUCUUGCUGGUGACGAGAAGCUUGUUCAGGCGACCGAUGACUGUGUGACCGUGCUCGACUCGCCCGUGCUGGACUGGGCAAGCGGCGCCGCCGUAAGCAUCUUCUCCGGCAGCGGUUUCUUCUCCGCGGUGGUGGAGCGCAUUUCUCGGCAGCGGCAGAGCUAUUGCGAAGUUGGUUAUGUGCCAUCAAAGAUGGCUGCACAGGUGGAAGAUGAUGAGUGGGUUUCACAAAAGAAGAUGUUGGCAUUGUUGACUGAACCAACUGUAGUAGCCGAAGAUACAUGGAUUGAUGCAGAUGGAGAGGAGGGAACCCAUAGUGCUAGGAAGAUUGUUGUUGACUGGAAUGCAGUAGAGUUGAAUGAAAAAACAGAUUUGGUCAUUACACCAACAUUUGACAUUGAUAUGGCCGAAAUGUUUGGCAUUCAAGUUGAUGACAAAGAUAAGGAGAAGGAUGACAGUUCUUUGCCUGCUGAUGGUAACACAGACCCUAGAAAUGCAAAUGAGGAUGAAGAAGAGCUGAUGAGAGAGGCUGCAGAUGAUGUGGAUGAUGCAGAUGAUAAUGAGCUGGUUAUGAUGGUGGUGGCAAUCCUUGCAAAUGGUACUUGUCUGCCAGACUACAACCUGAUGGAAGUACAAAGGAAGCAUGCAGAAAAAGCCCCACCUCUUGUUGUUGAACAAUGCUGGCCAGUGAAAAAAGCAAGACCCAAUGGCUUUAGAAGGAAGAGCACUAAGCAGAUAAUGUUUGGUGACAAAGAUAUGGAGCAAACUGAAACUGUUACAGCUGAACAUGAGCUAAGUGUUUCUGUUUUGGACGAUGUGAUGCAUACUGAAUCUGUUUUGCAGGCGCUAGGGCAAUCUGAAACUGUUGCAGAUGAAGCAACUGUUGUGCUGCCAUGCGAAUCUGCUUUGACAGCUGUGUUGCCAUGUUUGAAGGUUGUGCUGCCAAGUGUUGAGUUGCAAACUGAAGUAGUUGAACAAUGUGUGCCAUCUACUCAAUCUGCAGAAGUGCAAACUGAAGAAGUGGGACAUGGUCAGGUGCAAAAGUUGAGGGGGCCUAGUGGAGUUGGCAAGAAAACCAAGGGGCCAAAAAGCAAGAGCAUCAGCAUCAACAAACUAUGCGCCGUGGAACCGAACGGUGGAAAAAAGGAGAAGAAAUCGAGUGGUAGAAAGAAGCAAAAGAAAUAG